rnacentral:rRNA from 1 species
UACGUAGGUGGCAAGCGUUGUCCGGAUUUACUGGGCGUAAAGAGCGCGCAGGCGGUCGUUCAAGUCGCGUGUGAAAGCCCCCGGCUCAACUGGGGAGGGUCACGCGAUACUGAUCGACUCGAAGACAGGAGAGGGUAGUGGAAUUCCCGGUGUAGUGGUGAAAUGCGUAGAUAUCGGGAGGAACACCUGUGGCGAAAGCGGCGCACUGGACCACAACUGACGCUGAGGCGCGAAAGCCAGGGGAGCAAACGGGG